rnacentral:lncRNA from 1 species
AGUAACACUCUGGGAGGGCUCAAACCACAUAACCAAAUGUGCCAAGAUAAUCCUGAGCUCACUCAUUGUCAGAGAAGGAAUCAUAGGCACAGAGUUAUAAGUAUGUUGAAGAAUGUUACAAAACCGGUAAGAGACCUAGGAUCCAAGCACAAGACGUCUGUCUUCGUGCAAGUUCAUAUAAACAUUACAAUCUCAUUUAAGAAUAUUUUUUUAGGAGGGAGGUGAGACAAGACGGCAGAACAGAAAACUCCACAGAUCAUCCUCCUACCCCUACCACAAGGAUACUAAGUUAACAAACAACUACACAGAAAAAAGCAUCUUCCUAAGAGCUAAAAAUCAGGUGAGCACUCACAGUACCUGGUUUUAACCUCGUAUCACUGAAAGAGACACUGAAAAGACAGAAAAACAGUUCCGAGUCUCCGGUGCCACCCCUCCCUGACCCCAGCAGCAUGGCUUGGUGCCAAGAGCAUCUCUGGGUGCUGGUGAAGGGAGAACAGAGCAAUUGUGAGGCACUGAACUCAGUGCCAUUUUGUUGCAGCAAAAAGGAAAACCUGACCAAACUAAGCUGAAGUCCACCCAAAAGAAG